rnacentral:rRNA from 1 species
AGCAGCCGCGGUAAUUCCAGCUCCAAUAGCGUAUAUUAAAGUUGUUGCAGUUAAAAAGCUCGUAGUUGAAUUUCGGGAUCAAUAUAUCGGUCGUGCCAUUGGUACGUACUGGUAUCAUUGGUUUCUCCUUUCUGACGAACCAUGAUGUCAUUAAUUUGGUGUUAUGGGAAGUUAGGACUGUUACUUUGAAAAAAUUGAGUGUUUAAAGCAGGCUUUAGCUUGAAUACAUUAGCAUGGAAUAAUGAAAUAGGACGUUUGAUCCUAUUUUGUUGGUUUCUAGGAUUGACGUAAUGAUUAAUAGGGAUAGUUGGGGGCAUUAGUAUUCAAUUGUCAGAGGUGAAACUCUUGGAUUUAUUGAAGACUAACUACUGCGAAAGCAUUUGCCAAGGAUGUUUUCAUUAAUCAAGAACGAAAGUUAGGGAUCGAAGACGAUCAGAUACCGUCGUAGUCUUAACCAUAAACUAUGCCGACUAGGGAUCGGGAUGAUGUUAAUUUUUAUGUAUCAUUCGGCGCCUUAAC